AAUAAUAAUAAUAAUAAUAAUAAUAAUAAUAAUAAUAAUUACAUUAAAAACCCAUUUGUCACUGCCUCUUUACUCUUUCAAGAAAAAUAUAUAUAGCCUAUACCCAGACGGACACCCAGAAAUUCAACAAUGCGGGCAAUUAACAGAACUGGAAAAAACAAAACAAAUCAUAAAGGUGUAUCCUUUCCACCCAUUUCCAACGGUCCUGUUAAACCUCAACUACAUAAACUGAUCUCAACGUAUCAGGUCACUCCUUAUUCAAAACUGAGUGUGGAGAUCGAUCAGAAAGUCACUGCCUACCUCAAA